CAAUAGCGUAUAUUAAAGUUGUUGCAGUUAAAAAGCUCGUAGUUGGAUUUCUGGUGGGAGCGAUCGGUCUGGCGCUUAGCGCGAGUACUUGCAUCGUCUCCGGCCAUCCUUGGGGAGAGUCUGUCUGGCAUUAAGUUGUCGGGCAGAGGAUCCUCAUCGUUUACUGUGAAAAAAUUAGAGUGUUCAAAGCAGGCUUAUGCCGUUGAAUAUAUUUGCAUGGAAUAAUAAGAUAGGACUUUGGUACUAUUUUGUUGGUUUGCGCACCAAAGUAAUGAUUAAUAGGGACAGUUGGGGGUAUUCGUAUUCCGUUGUCAGAGGUGAAAUUCUUGGAUUUACGGAAGACGAACUACUGCGAAAGCAUUUACCAAGGAUGUUUUCAUUAA
rnacentral:rRNA from 1 species